rnacentral:rRNA from 1 species
AACGAACGCUGGCGGCAGGCUUAACACAUGCAAGUCGAGCGCCUCGCAAGAGGAGCGGCAGACGGGUGAGUAACGCGUGGGAACGUACCCUUAUCUUCGGAAUAGCUCUGGGAAACUGGAAGUAAUACCGAAUGUGCCCUUAGGGGGAAAGAUUUAUCGGAUAAGGAUCGGCCCGCGUUGGAUUAGCUAGUUGGUGGGGUAAAGGCCUACCAAGGCGACGAUCCAUAGCUGGUCUGGGAGGAUGAUCAGCCACAUUGGGACUGAGACACGGCCCAAACUCCUACGGGAGGCAGCAGUGGGGAAUAUUGGACAAUGGGCGCAAGCCUGAUCCAGCCAUGCCGCGUGAGUGAUGAAGGCCUUAGGGUUGUAAAGCUCUUUCACCGGAGAAGAUAAUGACGGUAUCCGGAGAAGAAGCCCCGGCUAACUUCGUG